GUCCCGCUUCAGGUUAAAGUUUUUGGUCAAGGUAGUUUUUGAUGAAGUUGAAGUCCAAUCAACUUGAAACGUAGUACACAUGUUCCUUAUGAUAUGAUCUUUCUAAUUUUAAAGCCAAAUUAAACUUUUGAUACCAAUUUCACGGUCCACUGAACAUAGAAAAUGAAAGUGCAUGUUUCAGGUUAAAUUUUUUGGUCAAGGUAGUUUUUAAAGGCAGUGCUUUAAGGCCUGACUUUCAAGUCAUGAGGUUCAUCUUUUCAUACGCAAUCUAUGCAGGGGGUCUUUUGGCCAGAAAUAGAUCCGGAAAUGUUCGAAUUUCUCCUCUUCUUUUUAUGGUAUGAUAUGGUUUUUGUUUCUUUCAUUUACAUUGGGGACUAAAGAAACGUUCAGUGUGUAUUGUUCGUUUUAUAGAACUUGUUAUUAAUGUGUAUUUUGCAUUAUAAGCAGUCAACCUGACUACAAACUAUCAUUAUUUGUAUUCCGUGUGGAAAGAGGUCGGGUCAAUUUCGAGUGUUAUCUGACAUCUAAAGAUUUUUUAAUUAGUUCAGACGUUGAUAUAACAAUAAAAAGUCGACUGAACAUGAUUAAUAUUGCAUCUUCUAUAAUUCAAAGCGGAUUUCGGUUUAUAAACGAGAAACCGUAAAGCGUUUUCAAUUUCGGUAUUAGUUAUGUAUGUUGUCUACGUAUUAUCCUGGUUCCCGGUACUACGUUCCGAGUAUUAGCUAUUUAAUAUAUCUGAUGUGUAACAUUACGAUCAGGUACCAGCCAAUCUACGUGUGUAUGUGUACAUGAUUUCCCGCCAAAAUGACCGACUUACAGCUAUGGAAAAAUAGUCCAUAAACGUUCCGUAUAAUGAUAUGCAAAUUCAUAAUUAAUCGUAACUUUUUUUAUCUUUAUAUAAUAAAUAUAACAAAAUGGAUUCCACAAAAUUGAAAAUAGCAUUAUUUUACGAGGAUUUCUAAUAUUUUUUUCACUUCCGGGCGCAGUAAUACGUAUGUUUUGAAGGAGCUCGAAAAAUUGACAAAGUGAAUUGAGAAGGAAACGGAUAGAUAUACGUCCUUGCUAUCAGGGCACAAACCCACUUUAAAGAGACUUGUCUACUGCCAUACCCAUCCUAUUUUCAUGCACCAUUUGCAAGCAAGAGACUGAAUGGUUUGCAAAAUUAAAAAUCAGGACGGUGUCCAAUUAAACCAAAAGAACUAACCUGGAUGAAUAUUGUAGGAGAAAUCUAGAGGAAAGUUUUGAUUUUUGAAAUUGGUUUUCCUGAAAAGUCAUUCAUCCUAGCCUGCAGAAAGGAACUAUAACUGUCCACCACCAACUGACGAGCUAAUGUUGAGCUUCACAUAUGGAAUUACUCAAAUACCAUCAAUGUCUAUGUUUUCAGCACAGAUUUCACAAGUUAUGACACAGCUGUGCUUUUUUUUUAUACCUGUUAAAGAGUUGUAUACUAAAUUUUAUUUUUUUAUCAAUAAAUAUAUCUUGUGUCA